CGAACGCUUGUCGCGUGCUUAACACAAGCAAGUCGAACGAUGAAGCCCUUCGGGGUGGAUUAGUGUCCCCCGGGUGAGUAACACGUGGGCAAUCUGCCCUUCACUCUGGGACAAGCCCUGGAAACGGGGUCUAAUACCGGAUACCACUCCUGUCCGCAUGGGCAGGGGUUGAAAGCUCCGGCGGUGAAGGAUGAGCCCGCGGCCUAUCAGCUUGUUGGUGGGGUAACGGCCCACCAAGGCGACGACGGGUAGCCGGCCUGAGAGGGCGACCGGCCACACUGGGACUGAGACACGGCCCAGACUCCUACGGGAGGCAGCAGUGGG
rnacentral:rRNA from 1 species